rnacentral:rRNA from 1 species
GUGUCAGCAGCCGCGGUAACACGUAGGCACCAAGCGUUGUCCGGAUUUAUUGGGCGUAAAGAGCUCGUAGGCGGUUCGGUAAGUCAGGUGUGAAACCUUUGGGCUCAACCCAAAGCCUGCAUCUGAUACUGCUGUGACUAGAGUUCGGUAGGGGAGCGGGGAAUUCCUAGUGUAGCGGUGAAAUGCGCAGAUAUUAGGAGGAACACCGGUGGCGAAGGCGCCGCUCUGGGCCGAAACUGACGCUGAGGAGCGAAAGCGUGGGUAGCAAACAGGAUUAGAUACCCGCGUAGUCC